GCUACCUGGAAGCCACCUGCUACCUUAGCACUGAACGGCAGAAAAGAAAAGCACAUACACAGCCCCAGCCUUGUUCUUCCCCAGUUUAUCGUCUCAUCGUUUCUUAGCAUGUUUUGAGCUGUUGUUCCAGUUUCAUCGUGUGCAGGUUUGAUAAACACGGCUGAUUACGUUCCAGAGGCUGCACUGGUCGACCAGGAGAGGCUAUACUAACACCGACACCUGUCUCACAGAAAUGGACUAGAAAAAAAAUAUAAAAAAAAUAUAUUUUAAGUAGUCUAGAAGGACUAACGUCAUCUUUUAGAAACCUUUCUGUCACGCUUAUAUCUGCCUUCCCCCACCGCCCUCACCCCGGUUGUGCACAAUGCUUCCUUAGUAAGAGUAAAAGCGGAUUUUCCCACAUUUGAAGGAAUAAAAACCUUCACAGAGACGCAAGCUGUGCACGCUUUUAAUGUUAACAUCAAUGGCAGAAAGGAGAAAGGUGCCAGAGGACACAGAUCCAACAUAGUGAUCAUGCACGCUGGACAUGGAGGACUCCUCAGUAGCUGGCUUUGUGUAGCUUUGUUUAGCAAUGAAAUAUUUGUUGGCUGUAACCUCAAAUCAUGUCUUUUUUCUAUUUUUCAAUGUGUACAUACUGAAACUUUUAUUUAAUCGAUGGUUGGUGAUGUCUUUCCUCACAGUCGCCCUGUCAUAGAGCAGUCCACAUCGCAUGUAUUAUUUCAGCUAAAAUAUGAUCGCAUUUGUCAUUGGAGCACACUGCAGGGAAGCUUAAGGAGCAGCUUAAGUGGAAACUAUGGUGAAAUUCUCUUGUAGACGUUGAGUUUUCAGAGUUUGUAUUGAUUUGACGAGAUGAAAGAAACCAUCGCUCUUCAGCUAACUCGAGAAUCAGCCCGCAGGGCAAUCCUUCCAGUCAGAGCUAGCCCUUCCACUGUCACGUCUGCACUGCGGUGAUGCCACUGAGUAUCACAUUUUCUGAAUUUAAGUAACGAUUUAUUAUGAAGCAAGCCAUUUAUAUACGCUUAAUGGAGCCAUUAUAGUUGAAAGUCAUUAAUAACUCCUUGUCAGCGCCGUCUCUCCACGCCUUUUGUGAUAUGUAGGAGAAAUGUGUUUUAUAUGCAGACGUUUUCUUAAAGAACUAGACCGAAGGAUCGCGUUGUCAUAUGUUUGUGCCGUCUCCCUGCCUACCCGACACACUUUCCUCUGCUCAUCAACAGUGUCGUUAAGUGACCACUAGAUGGAAGCAUUUUAAACACAGCCUAGCAGCCACUUCUCACUCUGCAAAAGUUUGGGCAUGACAUCAUCUGAUUAGGAGGUGAACGAUAUUAAAGGAAACAGCUGGCAGCAGGCUCAGACGUGCUGCUGCGAGCGUGAGAAACAGAGGAAGCUCUGAAAGACAAGCCCAGAGUAUCAAAGUACAAAAGGAGGGUUGUUUAAACUGCUCCUUGGGCAGAUACCACCAUGACUUUUAUUUUUUAUUUUUUUGACGUGUAUUGAUCAUUUCUGAUGUUCGAGAAACUUCUCAUCAAGUAAGAGCCUUCAGGACCUCCUGCUCUCCAGCACGACUGCUGUCUCCGAACAGUCAAACAUGAGAUUUGAGAGUGAGAGAGAGUUGUGCUGCAGAAGGAGCACACCUCUCUCCCGUCUGGGGAGAACUGGAGAGCUGGAGUGGGCUCCUCUAAUCGCAGACUCUGGUAAUCCACUCCUGCUCUCCCUCCUCCACCCAGAUGAACUCUGACAGCGGGGCCAUUUACAGCUGCAGGCUUUCCUCUCGUCCAAGUGUGCCUCCAGAUUUUUUCUUUUCUUUUUUUUUGUGGGCAGGAGGGACGGGAGGAAGGCUCAAGGGUAUCUGUGAUCUAAUCAUUACACCAUCUCCUCACCUCAGCGACCCUGCUGCAUCCAUCUCUCUGUCGGCUCCCCUCUCUCUUGCUCUAUCUCACCGUGUCACUCCCCUCCUCUCUCUCCCACUCGCUCUUUACUGCUCUCUUUCCCCAUCUAUCUUUCAUCCAAUCUCCGUCUCCUCUGUUUCUCUCUGUAUUCCGUCCCUCAACCCGACGCUCUGUAGGCUGUGACCGCCGCUGUGUGUUGGUGGGAGGAGAAUCGGAGAUUCUGUAUUACGAGGAGGCAGAGAGGCUCAAUCGGAAAACAAGCCCAGCAAAAUGAGGACUAGUUUAAUUUUACCGCAAAUUAAUAGGCCGGGAGAAAUGAUGCCAGUUAGAGAAUGAAUUAGAAUUUACUCUCGCUAUUGUGAUCCCCUUGGUGUAUGCACAGAUUAUUUCCAUAUGCACAGGCACAUCCCACGUGGGAAAAUCAUUUUGACUGAAUUCAGGGCUGUGUUGUUGUAUUAACCUGAAACACAACUCAAAUAUGAAGAAAACAUGGAUUUUUUUUUUCUUCCUUCUGUUUUUUUUUUUUUUUUAGUCAGUACUUCCUGUGGACUAAAGUUUGCAUUGUCUGUGUUCAUGCUUUUGUUAUUUCAAUGAAGCCAAAGAUGUAUGCUGUACUUACUGUUAUGUCUCAUAACCACGGUACCCAACCGCUGUGGCCUAACUCUAAAACUGUGCAAUCCUGAGUGUGUAGCAUAUCCCUGUAUUGUUGCUGUACUAUACUGUAAAUGAUGUACAUAGCACAUAAUAAAGAUAUACAGUACACAGCUUCUUCUGAUGCACUUGUAUUUCAUGUCUUUUUUUAAUAGAUUUUUCUUAAUUUUGAGAGAUUGUAGUUUGAGUGUCAAGCCCUGGAGCUGAAACAACACAAAUGCCAAAAAUGUCAGUUCCUCAAAUGUCCACAUGAGGCUGACUCCAAACGUGAGUCAAAUCCAAUUGAUCCCCACUGUUAAAAUGCACAUUUUUACAGCACAAAUAAAGAUGUUUAAAGUCUGAUUAAAAAUAUAUUUUUAUAUCUAUUGCAUAUUUACACCAUGACAGCUUUAUAGGGGUUGAAUUUUUAUAUAUGUCACUCUAUAUUUAAUUUGAAUUAAAGUAUGC
ensembl:lncRNA